AAGCACUUGAUACUAACCAAGCUGUCUAUACCGUGGUCUUGUGUCAAAGGCUGGUGAUAUGUUCUUGUAGCUGGGCUGAGGAAGUGCUAUAGUAAAACAAAAGCCAUGAAUCUUUUUUUUUUUUUUUAAGUUUUUAUUUUAUUUAUUUAUUUGAGAGAGAAAAAGGCAGAGAG